rnacentral:rRNA from 1 species
AUUGAACGCUGGCGGCAGGCCUAACACAUGCAAGUCGAACGAGUGGCGGACGGGUGAGUAAUGUCUGGGAAACUGCCCGAUGGAGGGGGAUAACUACUGGAAACGGUAGCUAAUACCGCAUACCAUCGGAUGUGCCCAGAUGGGAUUAGCUAGUAGGUGGGGUAACGGCUCACCUAGGCGACGAUCCCUAGCUGGUCUGAGAGGAUGACCAGCCACACUGGAACUGAGCAACGGUGCAGAAUCCGACGUGAGGCAGAAGUGGGGAAUAUUGCACAAUGGGCGAAGGCCUGAUAAAGCCAUGCCGCGUGUAUGAAGAAGGCAUUAGGGUUGUAAAGUACUUUCAGCGAGGAGGCGUUACUAGAAGAAGAAGCACCGGCUAACUCCGUGCCAGCAGCCGCGGUAAUAC